rnacentral:ncRNA from 1 species
GUCUUCAGGGCGGGGCGUAAUUCCCCACCGGUGGUAUGGCCACAAAGGCCGAGCCCACGAGCGCUUUUGCAGCUUUGCAAAAGGUCAGCAGAUCUGGUGAAAGGCCAGAGCCGACGGUCACAGUCCGGAUGAAAGAAGAC